AAAAUGGUUCUAAAAGCCAUUUAGGUAUGUAUUUCGGUAAUAUCUUCUAGUGGUCUUUGUGUUUGACUGUUUCCUUCUGAUGUCUCAUAGAUGUAUGAUUCUGUUAGCCAAAUACAGUUGAUGCUAUAAUUCUUCAUCAAAUCAAUGCAUUUCUAGCUAGUUUUUGUAUUGUCACUGAUAUUACACAAUUUAGUCUAAUGUGAAGCUAACAAAAAUUUUUUCCACUCAUAUGCUUCUGUGUAUGGAUCUGUAUAUAUUCACAUACUUGAUGUUUAAAUCUCUAACCUUAAUUGUUACAUGGACCUGCCACCUUAAAUGUAGUUAUAUUGCAUCAUGUA
rnacentral:misc_RNA from 1 species